GAUGAACGCUGGCGGCGUGCUUAACACAUGCAAGUCGAACGAAGCACUUUAUUUGAUUUCCUUCGGGACUGAGUAUCUUGUGACUGAGUGGCGGACGGGUGAGUAACGCGUGGGUAACGGGCCUUGUACAGGGGGAUAACAGAUGGAAACGGCUGCUAAUACAGCAUAAGCGCACGGCAUCGCAUGAUGCAGUGUGAAAAACUCCGGUGGUAUAAGAUGUACCCGCGUUGGAUUAGCGAGUUGGUGAGGUAACGGCCCACCAAGGCGACGAUCCAUAGCCGACCUGUGAGGGUGACCGGCCACACUGGGACUGAGACACGGCCCGAACUCCUACGGGAGGCAGCAGUGGCGAAUAUUGCACAAUGGGCUAAAGCCUGAUGCAGCGACGCCGCGUGAGCGAAGAAGUAUUUCGGUAUGUAAAGCUCUAUCAGCAGUGAAGAUAAUGACGGUACCUGACUAAGAAGCACCGGCUAACUACGUG
rnacentral:rRNA from 1 species